AGGCUGGAGCCAAUUUUAAUCAGCAGGCUGCCUGGUAUACACCUCAACUACAGGGAAGAGUAGAGCAGGAAACCUGUAUUCUGAAUGAACCAGCGUCCAGAGGGUUGUUUCUGUCUUGCUACCACCAAAUUAGAAAGCUGGAGUCUGUUCUCUCUCGGCACGAUCCUGCCCCGCUCCCCAUGCCGCCAUCGAGCAGAUUGUGGCACACAAGCCCGCAGCAGCAAAAAGCAUCCCCACUGCCACCAAGGUAAUUGUGUGUAUCUGUGGAGGCUUUCGUGGACUUCAACGAGUCAAGUGCUUCUGCAUAGCCACAGAAAAUUAUUCAGAGCUAGUCUGGGGAAGAACACUUCAAAUCUCAUCCUUCAUAUGACAUUCAUCCUAUUUUUCUUCUCCGUAUCAGCUGUUCUGCAGGGAGGUACAGGGGCUGUGGUUGCUUCUCUUCAAUUUGGAGGGGCUGGAGCUGGAGAGAGGUACCUUGUCUUUAUGUCCCAUGCCAAUGGGACCCUCGCAGUGCUCAUCCAGAAUGAAUGCUAAGUAUUUAUGUUAUGAGGAACUUAGCAAUAAACUCAAUAAUGCCGUUUACAUUUCUUAAGAAGUCAACAUGGCAUUACUUGGGUUUUAAAAACAUAGAAAAAAAGAAAUAAAGAGUAGUCCUUAAAACAUUUUUUAAACGUCCAUGAGGUGUCAGUGUGCCUCCAAGAAGAAACGUGGGAAAUCAAUGCUUCAUUCUGAAAAAAGCGAGUCAGUGGCCUUUAUUUUUCAGGGCCUGAAAUCACACGGAAGAGAAGGUGACAGAGGCUGGUAAAGACUCAAAAUAUGUAUAUCUGUGUGACUUAAGUGCUGCAUUUUUAUAAUAAUGUGUGUGUUUUUUAGUAUAGCUUACAAAUGUAGUUUAUGAAUUCAGUAGAGUUAUCUGUUGAUUGUCACACGUUUUGAGGAGGCUGGUUGCAGCAGCAGAGGUUUUUGGGGGAAGACUUUGCACAACCUGGCAUAUAUGAUGUCAAUAAUUAGGAAUAUUCCAAAAUACAUUCUUAACUUUUUGUUACUAAACAGGUAGCUAAUACAUUCAUAAAACUCUAUUUACAUUUUAUAGAAACCUAUUUUUUCAUAGUGCUUUUAUAAAAUGAGAGUUGCCUUGUCAAAAGUAGUAGAAAAUGACUGGAUACUAGAUGUUCUGUAGCCUCAGUUCUGCAAAUACUUGAAGAGAUACUUUCCGUUUUCAUGUAUGCAUGUUUGCUGAACAUAAUUUGGUUAUUUGUAGACUCUAAGAUAGCUAAACCCAUGGAUUUUAGAGGCAAGGGCAUAGAAGCUUAUUUUCUUAAUGUUUUAAAUAAAUAAUGCACCAUUCAUAAGUAUUAUGUAUCAUUCUAUUUUGGUAUAAUCUUUCUGCUUCUGUAUUAAAAGUACUCCCUGUAAAGCAUUUUGUUAGCUUUUUGGAACGCCAAGAUGUACUUCUCAAGUUCUCCUCUUGGUGUCAUCUUAAGUGAACAAAUGACUGAUUGAAGCCAGUGAUACCAAGAUUUUGGAACAUAACUCUGAUUUUAAAAGAUCUCAAGUUUAACUUCUAAUUCAUGUAUGGAUGAUUGUGUAAAGUUGUAAUGUAGCUACCUUUUUCUGCAUUCCAAUGUCUGAUGUAAUAAGUACAUAAACUAAUUCUUCCAGCUGUGUAUUCUUCCAGCUGCAUGCAUAAUUGUUUGUGUGUGUGUUUUGAAAGCUGGGCCC